rnacentral:rRNA from 1 species
GACGAACGCUGGCGGCGUGCUUAACACAUGCAAGUCGAACGGAAAGGCCCUGCUUUUGUGGGGUGCUCGAGUGGCGAACGGGUGAAUAACACGUGAGUAACCUGCCCUUGACUUUGGGAUAACUUCAGGAAACCGGGGCUAAUACCGGAUAGGAGCUCCUGCUGCAUGGUGGGGGUUGGAAAGUUUCGGCGGUUGGGGAUGGACUCGCGGCUUAUCAGCUUGUUGGUGGGGUAGUGGCUUACCAAGGCUUUGACGGGUAGCCGGCCUGAGAGGGUGACCGGCCACAUUGGGACUGAGAUACGGCCCAGACUCCUACGGGAGGCAGCAGUGGGGAAUAUUGCACAAUGGGCGGAAGCCUGAUGCAGCAACGCCGCGUGCGGGAUGACGGCCUUCGGGUUGUAAACCGCUUUCGCCUGUGACGAAGCGUGAGUGACGGUAAUGGGUAAAGAAGCACCGGCUAACUACGUGCCAGCAGCCGCGGUGAUACGUAGGGUGCGAGCGUUGUCCGGAUUUAUUGGGCGUAAAGGGCUCGUAGGUGGUUGAUCGCGUCGGAAGUGUAAUCUUGGGGCUUAACCCUGAGCGUGCUUUCGAUACGGGUUGACUUGAGGAAGGUAGGGGAGAAUGGAAUUCCUGGUGGAGCGGUGGAAUGCGCAGAUAUCAGGAGGAACACCAGUGGCGAAGGCGGUUCUCUGGGCCUUUCCUGACGCUGAGGAGCGAAAGCGUGGGGAGCGAACAGGCUUAGAUACCCUGGUAGUCCACGCUGUAAACGGUGGGUACUAGGUGUGGGGUCCAUUCCACGGGUUCCGUGCCGUAGCUAACGCUUUAAGUACCCCGCCUGGGGAGUACGGCCGCAAGGCUAAAACUCAAAGGAAUUGACGGGGCCCCGCACAAGCGGCGGAGCAUGCGGAUUAAUUCGAUGCAACGCGUAGAACCUUACCUGGGUUUGACAUGGAUCGGGAGUGCUCAGAGAUGGGUGUGCCUCUUUUGGGGUCGGUUCACAGGUGGUGCAUGGCUGUCGUCAGCUCGUGUCGUGAGAUGUUGGGUUAAGUCCCGCAACGAGCGCAACCCUUGUUCACUGUUGCCAGCACGUUAUGGUGGGGACUCAGUGGAGACCGCCGGGGUCAACUCGGAGGAAGGUGGGGAUGACGUCAAGUCAUCAUGCCCCUUAUGUCCAGGGCUUCACGCAUGCUACAAUGGCUGGUACAGAGAGUGGCGAGCCUGUGAGGGUGAGCGAAUCUCGGAAAGCCGGUCUCAGUUCGGAUUGGGGUCUGCAACUCGACCUCAUGAAGUCGGAGUCGCUAGUAAUCGCAGAUCAGCAACGCUGCGGUGAAUACGUUCCCGGG